rnacentral:rRNA from 1 species
AGCGAACGCUGGCGGCAGGCCUAACACAUGCAAGUUGAACGAACCUUUCGGGGUUAGUGGCGGACGGGUGAGUAACACGUGGGAACGUGCCUUUAGGUUCGGAAUAACUCAGGGAAACUUGUGCUAAUACCGAAUGUGCCCUUCGGGGGAAAGAUUAAUCGCCUUUAGAGCGGCCCGCGUCUGAUUAGCUAGUUGGUUGAGGUAAUGGCUCACCAAGGCGACGAUCAGUAGCUGGUCUGAGAGGAUGAUCAGCCACAUUGGGACUGAGACACGGCCCAAACUCCUACGGGAGGCAGCAGUGGGGAAUCUUGCGCAAUGGGCGAAAGCCUGACGCAGCCAUGCCGCGUGAAUGAUGAAGGUCUUAGGAUUGUAAAAUUCUUUCACCGGGGACGAUAAUGACGGUACCCGGAGAAGAAGCCCCGGCUAACUUCGUG